UACGUAGGUGGCAAGCGUUGUCCGGAUUUACUGGGCGUAAAGGGCGUGCAGGCGGUUUGUUAAGUCUAGGGUGAAAGCUCCCGGCUCAACUGGGAGAGGUCCUUGGAUACUGGCAGACUUGAGGACUGGAGAGGAGACUGGAAUUUACGGUGUAGCAGUGAAAUGCGCAGAUAUCAGGAAGAACACCCGUGGCGAAAGCGGCUCUCUGGGACGGUACUGACGCUGAGACGCGAAAGCGUGGGAGCGAACAGGAUUGAGAA
rnacentral:rRNA from 1 species